AUUGAACGCUGGCGGCAUGCCUUACACAUGCAAGUCGAACGGCAGCACGGGAGCAAUCCUGGUGGCGAGUGGCGAACGGGUGAGUAAAGUAUCGGAACGUGCCCAGUCGUGGGGGAUAACGUAGCGAAAGUUACGCUAAUACCGCAUACGAUCUAUGGAUGAAAGCGGGGGAUCGCAAGACCUCGCGCGAUUGGAGCGGCCGAUGUCAGAUUAGGUAGUUGGUGGGGUAAAGGCUCACCAAGCCAACGAUCUGUAGCUGGUCUGAGAGGACGACCAGCCACACUGGGACUGAGACACGGCCCAGACUCCUACGGGAGGCAGCAGUGGGGAAUUUUGGACAAUGGGCGCAAGCCUGAUCCAGCAAUGCCGCGUGCAGGAAGAAGGCCUUCGGGUUGUAAACUGCUUUUGUACGGAACGAAACGGUCUGGGUUAAUACCUCGGGCUAAUGACGGUACCGUAAGAAUAAGCACCGGCUAACUACGUGCCAGCCGCCGCAGUAA
rnacentral:rRNA from 1 species